UAUGAACAGAACAUUGUAUACAGCAUGGUGAAAUGUGAUUGGUUAUAGAACACAAACAGAAAAUUCAAAUAUUGAACAGUGAUUGGCUAAAGGUGGGAAUAAACCGUGUAGAUUUAGUUCUCCCAUCAGUUGGUCCACAGAUAUGUCCAUAUCUCUUGGCACAGGAUUCAUCCAAUAUCCAGGAACCAUCCUGUAAAACGAACCUCCUGGAACCCUCUUCCCUCUCUCUACCUGUCAAUCUUGAUCCUUUGUUAGCUGUGAUGUGAUGCAGCUACUGGUGGUGUCUCAUAGGAAGGAGGAUAAUUAUGGUUUCCAUCCUUAAACAACCUUGAGUUUAGCAGUUUCAGUGUAAUUAAUCUUUUUCCUUAUAAGGAAAUAGGAGCCAAUCGGAGGUGGUGGUCUUUGAACUGAAAUCACUUUGGACUGGUGUGUGUGUGUGUGUGUGUGUGUGUGUGUGUGUGUGUGUGUGUGUGUGUGUGUGUGUGUGUGUGUGUGUGUGUAAUCACUCUUUGUCCUGGUGUGUGUGUGUCCUGACCUGUCUGCAUCCAUCAUGUAUUUAACCCUUCAGAACCUGGGUUAAUGCUCUCCCUCUAUUCAAGUCAACACAAUAAAUUACACAAUAAAUGUUAUUAAUAUCAAUAUUGUGAUACAUGUGACAUCAGUUUCAGUGUUCAGCUGGCAGUGCCUUAAAAAAUAAACUCUAACAUCGUUUGUUUAUCUAUUUUCUAGUUGCUUUAUAGUUUAGCAGCACUUCAGUUUCCUGUAGCUUCGCUUCUGUGAGUUCAGCAUUUUCACUUAAUUCCUGGAUUUGCUUGUGUUGUAAUAAAGUCUUUAAACCGAACUCUGACUCUCGCGUUCUUGUUGCCCUGCGUGUGAGAAAAUUUAGAAUCCGACUUCCUAGAAAUAUAUAAAAGCCGACAAUGCCAGCGAUGUUCAAAAGAGCCUAGGACUCAGUUACAAAGCUAUGCAGCCUCUUUUGGAUCAGGGGUGAGCAGGGUUAAAAAAAAUCAAACUCACAACAAAGCUGAACACUUCAUUUUACCAAAAAGAAAACUGGGAACCCCAGCUCCAAGUCUCUCGGUGCUUCUGUCCGUCUUCCACGAAGCCUCCAAGGCUGCAGACAGGAAUCCUUUCAAAAAGGGUCACAACAAGGGGGCAGUCAGUCCACUGUUGAGGAGAGCUUCUAUAGGAGACACUCUGCCGAUCAGCCUGAUAGCACUCGUAAAAGCAGCCCAUCAACACGUUCAGAAACAGCCCGAUCCCGAACCUAA
ensembl:lncRNA